CCUGGUCCCGAUGGGGCGGGGGCGCCGAGGACCGUCCCCCGGCCGCCGGAUCAGUUCUCCGCACGAGGGUCGGGGACGCGGACGCUCCGAGGAGCGAUCGCGGCUGCGGCGAGGGGACCGAGGGACUCGCUGCUUCCCUUUCACCAGGUGCUGUUUGCAGAUGUCGCGGCGUCUGCAGACUUGAACCACAAGCGAAGUUCUCUGAGCCGGAGCUCGGCGCGGUGCCCUGACCGGCGGGGCGGCGGGAGCGGGACUCGCAGCGGCUGCGCCGAGGCCGCCGGGCGAUGCCCCCGCGCUUGGGAACACCGAGGUCCCCGGAGGAUCCGGGCCGGGAACAGCCUUGGGGAGACGGGAGCGGGCCCCGCCCGACGGAGCGAGUGAGCCUUGACCGGAAGAUGGGGACCCGCACAGCAACUGCCCAGUCUUGAACCACAGGACCGAGUGAAGAUGCCACAAGGGGCUCCUUGUUGGAGAAGCCCCAGAAAGUCACUGCUCCAAACCAGCCCCCUGUGUCAUCAAACACGGAGAAGAG
rnacentral:lncRNA from 1 species